rnacentral:misc_RNA from 1 species
GAAGCAGUUCUCACUUUGUGUGUAACACGCAGUGAAAUUUUGAGAACAUAUGUAAUGGGAAAUAGCUACCAAUGAAGCCAAAGCAUUUCUUGCAGGGAAUUGAAAUUUGCUCACACGCCACUUGGAGCGCUGGCGCUGCAAGUUUUAUGUCGACUUGUUAUUGGUUGAUGUAUUGUAAGCAAUUUGUUUUCGCUUCGUUCAAAACAUCUGACAGCAGUUUAUACACCACGGACAGGGGCAAAUUUGUUAAUGUGAACUGCUUCUUGUGUGUAUCGUCUUAAUUAAAUUGCAUUUUAAGUGUGUUGCGGAUAUUCUGCUAAUUUUUUUAAAUGCACGAUGUUGAGUGAUGUAAAUAAUUCUCAUGUUUGUGUUUCUUUCGUUUUUGGAGUCGCAUGUAUUUGUUCCUGGUGACGAAGACCUGUGUGUCUAUUUCUCGAAUUAAUUGUGUUGUUUUACAGAAUUGGAAUUCAACUUUAUUACGUCUUGUCACGGAAUGAGUAUGUAACUCUGCAUUGAAUAUCGUCGUUUUUCACCAAUGAGUGUGCUGUGUUAUCUUAAUGAUAAAAUAAAUAGUUACUGUGACAGGAACUAUUGCACAGCAGACAUAUUCUACAUCAAGGUGCAAGCUUGUACUUGGUGUUUAGUGUGGACGUGCUUCACCAUGCUGAAUGCUUCUCCAUUUAAAUUUUUGAUUAUAAUAACAGACAAGUGAAGAUGGAUCAUACGGGAAAGAAAAAUUCUGGUUUAAGAUUGAAAUACUCAUGUAAGUUUCCUGGCUGUAGAAGUGGUUAUUUUUCAAAUAUAAACACGAACAUAAAACAUCAAAAUAGACAUUUUUACAAAUUCCCAGCUCCAUCAAAGAGUGAGCUGCUAAAACAGUGGAAACUAAUUUGUAAUAUAGCUGAAGACAUUGACUGUGGUUCUUAUUCUGUGUGUGAAAAUCAUUUUUUCCAAGCCGAUUUUGUAAACUUCUCUCGGCAUAGGCUAAAUCGUGGGGUUAUUCCGAAGCAUACGGAAUUGGUGGUAUACCACACGGAAACUACAGUGACUGGAGAGGCAUCUGUCAUUUUGCCGCCUAUUAAAAGAGAAAAUGAUGAGGAAACUGCUUCUCAUGAAACUGCUCCCCAGAAAACACAGUUAAAAACUAAAUUACAGGUCCUCGUAAAUCGCAUUGAUUCGUUGGAUAUGGAAACAGUGGGUACACUGGAAAAAGAAGUGGACCAUUGGCUGUCACACACUAAUUCUGGUUUCAGUAGGGAAGGUGCACAUUGUGCUAGCAAAGGAAAAGUGAAAGUGCAGGAAAUACCUGAUCAGAUUAAAAUCCAUAUAAAGAGCAUUAUAAGAAAACCAACUCUUGCUGAGAAGUCUAUUGUUGCAGAUCUAAUGAUGCAAUCUGACAAUGAUGUGUUGACUGUGCAUGUUGAUUCUGACCAUACGUACUGUACCAGUUGUUCUGAUCACACAUACUGUAAUAGUUGUUCUGAUCACACUUAUUGUAUAAAUAAAAACUGACUUUAUCUGUCCUCAAUUCUUGUGCAUGCAUGUGUGUCUAUCACGGUUUAUAGGCCUACUGGGGAAACUCGCCAUUUAAAAAAAAAAAAAGAGUAACACGUCAGGCUCUGUACCU